rfam:Metarhizium majus ARSEF 297 Scaffold_13, whole genome shotgun sequence.
ACCAAGAUGGCCGAGUGGUUUAAGGCGGUAGAUUUAAGUGUUUUUUGGCAUAAUCUCUACUAUCGAAAGAUGCCUGGGUUCGAACCCCAGUCUUGGUA